UACGUAGGUGGCAAGCGUUGUCCGGAAUUAUUGGGCGUAAAGCGCGCGCAGGUGGUUCUUUAAGUCUGAUGGGAAAGCCCCCGGCUCAACCGUGGAGGGUCAUUGGAAACUGGGAGACUUGAGUAUAGGAGAGAAGAGUGGAAUUCCACGUGUAGCGGUGAAAUGCGUAGAUAUGUGGAGGAACACCAGUGGCGAAGGCGACUUUCUGGCCUGUAACUGACACUGAGGCGCGAAAGCGUGGGGAGCAAACAGG
rnacentral:misc_RNA from 1 species